AUGACCGAAUCAACUCUGCAACUGGUUUGGUCACAAAGAAGUUCCACAUGUGCCUUCCCAAAGGCUGUCACUUUAAUACCAAACUGCAUGUGACGUUUGUAGGGUUUGCUUUAGGAGGCCCUGGGAGCCAAGAUGGUGGCAUCACAAGAUGGAAGGAGCAUAGGAACAGAUUGCCUGGAGAAAAUACUGCGUUGGCCUUCUGAGCAAGAAAUUAACCUGUGCUGAGUCCAGCCACCCAUAUUUUGGGCUUUCCUCGUUCCUUCAUCAUCAUACCAAAAUAUUUUCCAUAGGGCAACAAUUGAAUCGGAAGAAGAGGGAGGUUUAUGUAUGCAGACCCCGAAGUACAC